rnacentral:rRNA from 1 species
GACGAACCGUGCGAACGUUGUUCGGAUUCACUGGGCUUAAAGGGCGCGUAGGCGGGCAUUCAAGUCAGGGGUGAAAUCUUUCGGCUUAACCGGAAAACAGCUUCUGAUACUGGAUGUCUCGAGGGAGGUAGGGGCCUGCGGAACUGGUGGUGGAGCGGUGAAAUGCGUAGAUAUCACUAGGAACGCCGGUGGCGAAAGCGGCGGGCUGGACCUCUUCUGACGCUGAGGCGCGAAAGCUAGGGGAGCAAACGGG